UACCGGUUUGAACAAGUUACUCAUUCAAGGAAAUACAAUGCUUAAAUAAAAUUGUAUUAGAGUUGAAGUGAAACUGGAAGAAUGAACUCAGAGCUACAUGUAUUUGUCUGUGAUUUUAAUGUUUGUUUUUGCUGUUGGACUCGAAACUCUUCGAGUCCAUGGCCCCUCAGAUCCACUUGUGGCCCAGGUAAGAGGAUCAGUUCUCCUGCCAUGCUUUAUUGAAGGUUCACUGCCUUUAGAAGAUCUCCAGGUAGAAUGGAGAAAGCUGGAUACAGAUUCUGUAGUGAGCCUCUUCCAGCAAGGAAAAAGCAGACCAGAUCUCCAGACUCAAAUGUUUAGAGACAGAGCUGACUUUUUUCCAGAUGAGGUCUCAAAAGGGAAUUUCUCCAUCUUACUGAAAAAUGUGGUAAAAGAUGAUGCUGGCAUUUAUAGAUGCCAAAUCAACACAACCCAGGACACUGGUCAAGUUAUAAUGGAAAUGAAAGCGAUCGAGCAUUUUGUGGUGACAGGGGCAGACCAUGCUGUCUUUGCCCAUGAGGGUGAGGAUGUCAUACUGAACUGCUCUGUAGAUUCCCAUGUACCAGCCAGUGAGAUUGAAGAAGUGACCUGGAAGAAGACAAAUGUAGACCAAGACAUUCUUGUCCUGCUUUAUCAAAACGGUGAAAUCUUCCCAGACUCCUCACAUGAGAGUUAUCAGGGAAGAGUUGAUUUGUUUCUUUCUGAAAUCACCAAAGGAAACUUCUCACUAAAGCUGAAGGUGGUGAAUAUGGAAGAUGAAGGAGAAUUCACAUGUGAGGUCCACACUAGUGACAUGUCAGCUCGUGCCACUGUGGUACUGCAUGGUGUAGAGCAUUUUGUGGUGAAAGGGGCAGACCAUGCUGUCUUUGCCCAUAAGGGUGAGGAUGUCAUACUGAACUGCUCUGUAGAUUCUCAUGUACCAGCCAGUGAGAUUGAAGAAGUGACCUGGAAGAAGACAGAUGGAGACCAAGACAUCCUUGUCCUGCUUUAUCAAAACAGUGAAAUAUUCCGAGAUUCCUCACAUGAGAGUUAUCAAGGAAGAGUAGAUUUAUUUUCUUCUGAAAUCUUUAAAGGAAACUUCUCACUAACGCUGAAAGAUGUAAAGAUGGAAGAUAAAGGAGAAUUUACAUGUGAGGUCCACACUAGUGGUAUGUCAGCAAGGACCACUGUGGUACUGCAUGGUGUAGGUUUCUCUGCUCCCCAUAAACUAAUCUUAGUGUUUUGCUUGAUUGCACUAUUGCUGGCAGUAGGAUGUUGUGGUCCUGUCUUUAACCUCCUGAGAAAGAAAGUUUCUACCAAAAAGGCCAUGAUAAUUCACAUUUCUCUGAUCCUCUCUUGAACAUCUGCAUGUUUGUUGCUUUCUGCUUGUGGUCAACAGAAGGGUUUAUCGCAGAAGUUGUCACUUGUUCAACUGUCAGUAUCAUGAGAAUCAUCAUCCUGAUGAAAACCUCUUUGUAUUUUCACAGAUUUCCACAGGUUUUAAAAAAAGUAGCAAAGAACUUGGCUUUUCCACUUUACCAUUCAAGUUUAAUAUUGGGUGCAUGUUUGUAUUUGUUUAAUGGCCAGAUACAGACCACAGAAGAAAAACUGAAUGCAUUUCUAACAGCCACAGCAGUGGUGCUUGUCAUCUGUGCUGUUGUAAUAGCUGUUUAUGAUUUCCGGAUGCAUCUGACUCUGUGUCUAGAAGCAGUAAACGCAACAGUGUUAGCACUCAGUAUCAGUCUCAGUCCCAAUGGAAACUAUGACUUUGAGGCAGCUUUGGUACUGCUAACACUAGCUGCUGGGACUGUGAUUGUACUCUCUCUACAAAGGCACCUUUUUCUAAAAAAAUCUUUUGGAUGUGUGCAUAUCACUUUUUCAUCUCUUUUAUUGGCUGCAUUUAUUUUGUUUAAAAUAGUAGCUUAUGUAAUGUACUCCAUUGCAAAAAACAGUUUUGUUAAAGGAUGGAUAAGUCUAUUUCUGGUUGUGUUAAUUAUAUGUGCAUGGCUAGUAGUAAUUUAUCUAUUGCGUUGUCACCGUGGACACGGACAUGGAUGCUGCUCUCAAUGGAGGAAAAUAGGAUAUUUGUGCUGUACUCUCAUUGCUGCAUUAUUAUUCACUACAAAUGGCAUGAUGAGCUUUUAUUAUGCAUACAUCAUCUUGCAAAUUAAAGAACUUGCAGGAUUUUUGGCUCUGAUACCACUGCUCUCUGUUUUGCCACCAAUAUGUUUGUUCAAACAUCCCAAACAUUUACCUGAGGUCUUUCACAUUAUGGUCUACAUGUUUGGAGCUGUAGGUCUUAGUGCUGUAAAUGCAAUCGUUCUUGCCACAGAACUGAUCCUGAAAGCAGGGAAAGGAGCACGGACUAUAGAAGAUCUCCGUGUGAUAGUUUUACCCUUGAAACAGUGUUUGUCUUUGCUUGGCUCACCUUGCAGAUCUAUGAUGCCUGGAUGAGAUACAAGGACGGAGCACUAUAUCUUUAUGAAGAUACGAGAAGAACAGGACCCGAGGUUGAAAUGAAAGCUCUCCAAGAGAAUAUUCCGAACCCUGACUGAUUUGUGGUGAUCUGUAAAAUAUAGACACCAGAUUAUAAAAUCCCAGAAGUAUCAUUCUUUACACUUUGUGAGACGAUUGUUUGUGUUUCUUAUAAAAGCUACCUUUGAGUUUCUACAGCACAUGUUCAACAGAGUCUGUAUUAAAGAAACAUCAUGUUGUUACUUCAGUGUAACCGAUAUAUUAAUAUAUAAUGUAUGGUCAGGGAAACUUGAGUCGGAAGCUUAAUUGCUUGAGAAACAGUCACAUGCUAGUAUUGUUUAU